AUUGAACGCUGGCGGCAUGCUUUACACAUGCAAGUCGAACGGUAACAGGCCGCAAGGUGCUGACGAGUGGCGAACGGGUGAGUAAUGCAUCGGAACGUGCCCAGUCGUGGGGGAUAACGCAGCGAAAGCUGCGCUAAUACCGCAUACGAUCUCUGGAUGAAAGCGGGGGACCGAAAGGCCUCGCGCGGUUGGAGCGGCCGAUGGCAGAUUAGGUAGUUGGUGGGGUAAAGGCUUACCAAGCCUACGAUCUGUAGCUGGUCUGAGAGGACGACCAGCCACACUGGGACUGAGACACGGCCCAGACUCCUACGGGAGGCAGCUGUGGGGAAUUUUGGACAAUGGGCGCAAGCCUGAUCCAGCAAUGCCGCGUGCAGGAUGAAGGCCUUCGGGUUGUAAACUGCUUUUGUACGGAACGAAAAGCUCUGGGUUAAUACCCUGGGGUCAUGACGGUACCGUAAGAAUAAGCACCGGCUAACUACGUGCCAGCCGCCGCCGUAA
rnacentral:rRNA from 1 species